ACAACUUACCAUGGCAAACACAAUACUCCCUCCAUUCUACGAAUUACAUAGAAUUUUUUUCAAAGGUUCCAAAAAAUGCCCAGCACCUGUUUCUUCACGCAGUACCAUCAAAGACACCCCUGGUUUGUGUUAAAAAAAAAAGACACCCUGGUUUCCGAGUGCCCACAAUCAUCUCGAGACAGGAAUCGUAUAGUAUCCUGGUACAUCUUUUCGAAUACUCCAGCAUUGAGCCACCCAAUUCAUCUUCGUCCAUUAUUUCAGAUAUCAUCCCG
rnacentral:lncRNA from 1 species